GAGGUGUUCUGCAAAUAUUAUUUGAUGAUAAGAAAAUAAGAGACAUAAACUUAUAUGUGGAAAGGAGAAAAAAGAAAAAAAAGCAAAACAUCAAUGAAAGAUAAACAUGUGAAGCCACCAGAAGCAUAAAUUGACAAUACGUGAUAAAGAAUGAUGUAGGAAAGAGCUCUCCUUGUCAUUUGUUAGGUUGCCUGUACUUGCAGUCACACAUAAUAAAGAACUCAAUCAACAAUA
rnacentral:lncRNA from 1 species